CAGCAGCCGCGGUAAUACGUAGGGUGCGAGCGUUCAUCGGAUUUACUGGGCGUAAAGCGUGCGCAGGCGGCCCGUUAAGACAGGUGUGAAAUCCCUGGGCUCAACCUAGGAAUUGCGCUUGUGACUGGCGGGCUCGAGUACGGUAGAGGGGGGUGGAAUUCCUGGUGUAGCAGUGAAAUGCGUAGAGAUCAGGAGGAACACCGAUGGCGAAGGCAGCCCCCUGGGCCUGUACUGACGCUCAUGCACGAAAGCGUGGGGAGCAAACAGGAUUAGAUCCCCUGGUAGUCCACGCCCUAAACGAUGGGUACUAGCCGUUUGGUGCGCGAUAGCGCUGAGUGGCGAAGCUAACGCGUGAAGUACCCCGCCUGGGGAGUACGGCCGCAAGGUUGAAACUUAAAGGAAUUGGCGGG
rnacentral:rRNA from 1 species